rnacentral:rRNA from 1 species
GGUGAGUAAUGUCUGGGAAACUGCCUGAUGGAGGGGGAUAACUACUGGAAACGGUAGCUAAUACCGCAUAACGUCGCAAGACCAAAGAGGGGGACCUUCGGGCCUCUUGCCAUCGGAUGUGCCCAGAUGGGAUUAGCUAGUAGGUGGGGUAACGGCUCACCUAGGCGACGAUCCCUAGCUGGUCUGAGAGGAUGACCAGCCACACUGGAACUGAGACACGGUCCAGACUCCUACGGGAGGCAGCAGUGGGGAAUAUUGCACAAUGGGCGCAAGCCUGAUGCAGCCAUGCCGCGUGUAUGAAGAAGGCCUUCGGGUUGUAAAGUACUUUCAGCGGGGAGGAAGGGAGUAAAGUUAAUA